GGAUAGCUCAGUUGGUAGAGCGUGAGACUCUUGAUCUCAGGGUCAUGAGUUCGAGCCCCACCUUGGCCA